GUAGUAUUCUUACACGUGUUAAAGGUCCUUGUUAGAAACUUCAACGUUACACGAUUAAUCAUUAUAGGAAGACGCUGGCACCAAGGACAGAGUAUGUAGAAGCUUGACCCGGAGAAGAGGUUCCACCUAAAGAUGGACUUAAUUGGAGGAAAUAUGGACAGAAACUUAUCUUAGGUGCAAAAUAUCCCAGAGAAUAUUUUCAAUGUGUUUGUCGUCAUUAUGAUGCUACUAAGAUGGUCCAGCGAAUCGAGA